UAGGCACACAAAGUUCCAUUUGGUGUCAUCUUUUGAAGCCGCCUCAGGGCCAAGAAAGACAGUUGGAGAGAGAGCCCAAGAGGCCCUGAGCAGAGGGAGAGGGACAAAGAGAAAUCUCCAGCAGACUCCCCACUAAGAAAGGAGCUGAACACAGAGCAUGAUCCCAGGACCCUGAGAUCAUCACCUGAGCCAAAAUUAAGAGUCAACCAGCUGAGCCACCCAGCUCCUCGAUCAAGUAACCACAACCACACAUGGUGUCUGGAAGGCCUGAAGAGCCUCCUCUUUUACUCACUGGCUGGUACAUGGCUCCUAUCCACUCUCAAAAUAUUAUGAUGGAUAUCACCUGAAGCCAUGUGAAGCAAC